UCACGAUAGCGUAAAAGUAAACUCAAAUUUGUAUGGAGUUUGGUACGUUUGCCAAUGUUUGCCGCUAGGAGCGCUGUUCCAACUGCAUACAAAUUUCAGUUAACUUUUACGCUAUCGA
rnacentral:pre_miRNA from 9 species